GGCCUCUCUCCCAUGGGGCUGUGUGUGUCGGGGGGAGGGGACCUCUUCUCCUCAGCCUUUGGGCUGGAAGCGCAGAUCAGCCCUUGGGCUGGAAGCGCAGAUCAGCCCUGGGGGAUCCCUGUCGGGGCUGCCAUGAGCUGGGCACCCUUGUUUUCCUACCUCAGACGUUU